rnacentral:rRNA from 1 species
CCCGGGAGGCAGCAGUGGGGAAUUUUGGACAAUGGGGGCAACCCUGAUCCAGCAAUGCCGCGUGUGUGAAGAAGGCCUUCGGGUUGUAAAGCACUUUUGUCCGGAAAGAAAACGCCGUGGUUAAUACCCGUGGCGGAUGACGGUACCGGAAGAAUAAGCACCGGCUAACUACGUGCCAGCAGCCGCGGUAAUACGUAGGGUGCAAGCGUUAAUCGGAAUUACUGGGCGUAAAGCGUGCGCAGGCGGUCCGCUAAGACAGAUGUGAAAUCCCCGGGCUUAACCUGGGAACUGCAUUUGUGACUGGCGGGCUAGAGUAUGGCAGAGGGGGGUAGAAUUCCCCGUGUAGCAGUGAAAUGCGUAGAGAUGUGGAGGAAUACCGAUGGCGAAGGCAGCCCCCUGGGCCAAUACUGACGCUCAUGCACGAAAGCGUGGGGAGCAAACAGGAUUAGAUACCCUGGUAGUCCACGCCCUAAACGAUGUCAACUAGUUGUCGGGUCUUCAUUGACUUGGUAACGUAGCUAACGCGUGAAGUUGACCGCCUGGGGAGUACGGUCGCAAGAUUAAAACUCAAAGGAGGACGGUCCCGUAG